GCUGCAUCUCUCUGUCGCGCUAUUUUUAGAUCUCGCGUCUGGCUGCUGUGCUAGUGAGCUCGCGCGCUGAAGAUCCGCGGUGCGUUUUUAUGAAUGAGUGUGUGAUCGUCGUCCUUUCUAUCGCAGCAUCCCACAAACGAGCAGGAACAGAGAGACACUCCUUCAGGACUCACAUGAUGCUGUACACUCUUUAUCAUCGGCUGGCUUCAUGAUGAGCUCACCGCUGGAUGCAGAUCCAGAGGUGUUGUCGGCGGUGGGCAGUAUGUCGGAGGUUGGUAUGUUGGACUGGGACUGUGAUUCAGACGAUUGGGAGAAGCAGUUACAGCGCGAGCUGCUUCUGAUCCAGAGACAGCAGCAGAUCCAGAAACAGCUGCUCAUCUCCGACUUCCAGAAACAGCAUCAGAACCUGCUGAGACAACAUCAGGCCCAGCUCGAGGAGCACAUCAAGCUCCAGCAGGCUCUGUUAACUCUGCGGCAGCAGCAGGAGGUGUUUGUUGAGGAGGAGAGAGAGGAGGUGAGGGAGGAUGACAAGGAGCUUCACAGGAGGGAGACACAGAAACACCAGCAUCACAGACGGAAGGAGCCAUCUAAAGAGAGUGAGAAAACAACUGCCUCUGCCAGUCAUUUCAACUUUCAUUUAAGCGAUAAUUCCUGUAGUAUUUGUCUUUAUGACACACCUCUGACAUGUAUACGUUUAGAAAAAUAAUGACAGUGCUUCUGUUUUUGCUUGUCUUUUUUUAUGUCCAGUUACAUUUCAC
rnacentral:lncRNA from 1 species